GCUGAAGGUAUAUACAGCUGUGACCCCCCCCCUCUGAGGGUAUAUAGAGCUUCUGACCCCCUAUGUGUGUGUUUGUGAUUAUGUGUGUGAGAGAGAGAGAGAGACGUCUUUGCGUGUAUGUGUGUUUGUGAUUAUGUGUGUGAGAGAGAGAGAGACACGUCUUUGCAUGUAUGUGUGUUUGUGAUAAUGUGUGUGUGAGAGAGAGAGAGACGUCUUUGCGUGUGUGUGUGUUUGUGAUUAUGUGUGUGUGUGAGAGAGACACGUCUUUGCGUGUGUGUGUGUUUGUGAUUAUGUGUGUGAGAGUGAGAGAGAGACGUCUUUGCGUGUAUGUGUGUGUUUGUGAUUAUGUGUGUGUGAGGGAGAGAGAAAGAUAUCUUUGCGUGUAUGUGUGUUUGUGAUUGUGUGUGUGUGAGAGAGAGAGAGACGUCUUUGCGUGUAUGUGUGUUUGUGAUUAUGUGUGUGUGACAGAGACGUCUUUGUGUGUGUGUGUGUUUGUGAUUAUGUGUGUGUGAGAGAGAGAGAUGUCUUUGCGUGUAUGUGUGUGUAUGUGUGUUUGUGAUUAGGUGUGUGUGAGAGAGAGAGAGAGAGAUGUCUUUGCGUGUGUGUGUGUUUUUGAUUAUGUGUGUGAGAGGGAGAGAGAGAUGUCUUUGCGUGUAGGUGUGUUUGUGAUAGUGUGUGUGUGAGAGAGAGAGAGAUGUCUUUGCGUGUAUGUGUGUUUGUGAUUAUGUGUGUGUGUGUGUGAGAGAGAGACGUCUUUGCGUGUAUGUGUGUGUGUGAUUAUGUGUGUGUGAGAGAGGGAGAGAUGUCUUUGCGUGUGUGUGUGUUUGUGAUUAUGUGUGUGUGUGUGAGAGAGAGAGAGAGAUGUCUUUGCGUGUAUGUGUGUUUAUGAUUAUGUGUGUGUGUGUGUGAGAGAGAGACGUCUUUGCGUGUAUGUGUGUGUGUGAUUAUGUGUGUGUGAGAGAGGGAGAGAUGUCUUUGCGUGUGUGUGUGUUUGUGAUUAUGUGUGUGUGAGAGAGAGAGAGAGAGAGAGACGUCUUUGCGUGGCAGGGAGAGGUUUUCUCUUUGUGUGUGUGUUUGUGUUUGUGUUUGUGUGUGAGAGAGAGAGUGUCUUUGCGUG
ensembl:lncRNA